CAAUAGCGUAUAUUAAAGUUGUUUGCGGUUAAAAGACUCGUAGUUGGAUUUCUGCUGAGGACGACCGGUCCGCCCUCUGGGUGAGUAUCUGGCUCGGCCUUGGCAUCUUCUUGGAGAACGUAUCUGCACUUGACUGUGUGGUGCGGUACCCAGGAACAUUUACUUUGAGGAAAUUAGAGUGUUUCAAGCAGGCUUGUGCCUUGAAUACAUUAGCAUGGAAUAAUAAGAUAGGACCUCGGUUCUAUUUUGUUGGUUUCUAGAGCUGAGGUAAUGAUUAAUAGGGAUAGUUGGGGGCAUUCGUAUUAACUGUCAGAGGUGAAAUUCUUGGAUUUGUUAAAGACGGACUAC
rnacentral:rRNA from 1 species